rnacentral:rRNA from 1 species
AUUGAACGCUGGCGGCAUGCCUUACACAUGCAAGUCGAACGGUAACAGGUUAAGCUGACGAGUGGCGAACGGGUGAGUAAUGUAUCGGAACGUGCCCAGUCGUGGGGGAUAACUGCUCGAAAGAGCAGCUAAUACCGCAUACGACCUGAGGGUGAAAGCGGGGGGUCGCAAGACCUCGCGCGACUGGAGUGGCCGAUAUCAGAUUAGGUAGUUGGUGAGGUAAGGGCUCACCAAGCCGACGAUCUGUAGCUGGUCUGAGAGGACGACCAGCCACACUGGGACUGAGACACGGCCCAGACUCCUACGGGAGGCAGCAGUGGGGAAUUUUGGACGAUGGGCGCAAGCCUGAUCCAGCCAUGCCGCGUGCGGGAAGAAGGCCUUCGGGUUGUAAACCGCUUUUGUCAGGGAAGAAAAGGUUCUGGCUAAUACCUGGGACUCAUGACGGUACCUGAAGAAUAAGCACCGGCUAACUACGUGCCAGCAGCCGCAGUAA